GACGUAGGGUCCGAGCGUUGUCCGGAAUUACUGGGCGUAAAGAGCUCGUAGGUGGUUUGUCGCGUUGUUCAUGAAAACUCACAGCUCAACUGUGGGCGUGCGGGCGAUACGGGCAGACUGGAGUACUGCAGGGGAGACUGGAAUUCCUGGUGUAGCGGUGGAAUGCGCAGAUAUCAGGAGGAACACCGGUGGCGAAGACGGGUCUCUGGGCAGUAACUGACGCUGAGGAGCGAAAGCGUGGGGAGCGAACAGG
rnacentral:rRNA from 1 species